UCGGCUUUCUAUUGAAUAAUUAACUAAGUCCAAAACAAAGCAAAUAGGUUAGGCCCUAAAGUGACCCAACCCCAAAUAAUAACAUUUGAUACCAGAAAAGUGUAGAUCAAGCCCAUUAAGGACCCGAUCCCCUAUAUUCUACAACUUUCGUUUAGGAAAGUUUGAGUUGCCUUGGUAGGGCAACAAAACGUAUCUGUGCUUUUGCCGUUCUUUUGUCUUCUGCAGCUAUGUCCUAGCUAUUGUUGACUACUCCAUCUUCCAUUUUCCUCUCCUCUAAUAAUAAUUUCUUGAUUCAGAAGAGUGUUUUCAUAACUUUGCUCCAUCAGAAGAUUUAUGCAAUGAAAAUCACCUGGAUUAGCUCCAGCACCAGUUGAAGACCAUUUCAGAUGUCAAAUAUUUCAUCGUUAAUUAAACACUCUGGAUUUUGGAACGAUGAAAAUAAAUAUGUCAAUUACAAAAUUGAUGCGGUCACAUUCAAAGAGUAUUCUACGUAUGUUGAAUCUGUAGAAACAAUUGCAACACAGCUGAAUUUGGAUAAAUUCCGAAAGAACAUACACGUAAACUACGCUGUUGAAGGUGAUGAAAUCCCAAUUGAAAUUCACAAUGAUAUGGGUGUAAAGGUGUAUGUUGAGUUGAAGAAAGAGAAUAAAGCAUUAGCAAUGUAUCCGCUGUGUAUAACUACAAAUGAUAGGAGUUUGGAGAUAUGUUUAUCCGGAGAGAGUUAUGUUCAUGGUAAUCACUUGCAAAUAGGUUACACGAAUCAAUCAUCAUUGGGAGAAACAGUUGGUUCGGAAGAAUUAGCAUCAUCUAGUUGUGGACAGGCUGAUGUGUUGUUUGAAAACAAACAAUUCAUGGUUAUAGACGACAUAAACCAAAAGGUAGUUGCUGUCGAUCAAGCUUACAAAGACAAGGAUACUUUAAAAACUGUGAUGGCGAAUUAUGCGAUUACAAACCGAUUCAACUUCCACACAGAAAGGUGUAAUGCAACGAGGUAUUUCAUUUUACCAUGUAUAUUGUGUAUUUGAAAUUGUGACUAUGCUUAUUUAUAAUGUCAGUAACUGUGUAUAUUUAAUUUACAGUGUAUGUUUAAAACUGUUAUAGUGUAUGUUCAGAAUGUAUUUUUUACAAAUUUGUACGUGCAAACAGUUUUCUUUUACAUUAUGUAUUUUAAAAACUUGUUUUUAUAUAUAUCAGUAUUUAAUAAUGAUUUGAUUAUAUUUAUUUGUGGUCAUUAUUGAAUUUGACUUUAAUGUAUUUUUAACUCAUGCUCAUUAUAUGUAGCUACACACUUGUCUGCGUAUCUGGUGAUUGUGAUUGGAAAUUGAGGGCGUAAGUAUAGGGAAGUUUGAACUUUUUAUAAUUAGAGAGUUUCAAGAUAAACAUACAUGUCCCCUAAAGGAAAAGGUUUAUUCCCAACGACAAGCUACGAGUCGAUUGAUAAGUGGAAUUGUUAAACCAAAAAUAGCAAAUCAUAAGAGGAAAUACACUCCUAAAGACAUUGCAGAGGAUAUAAAAAAUGAUUUUGGCAUGGAUGUUUCAUACUUGGUUGCGUGGCGGGCAAAGGAAAAGGUGAUGAUUGAUUUGAGGGGUACAAUGGCUGAAUCGUAUAACCGGCUACCUGGUUACCUAUAUAUAUUGGAUAAAACAUAUCCUAGUUCAAAUAUAAAAAUGCGUAAAACCAGAGAGAAUGAAUUUCUAUAUGUUUUUAUUGCUCUCUAUGCAUUUAUCAAGGGAUUUGAGUGUUGUCGACCAAUUGUGGUUGUUGAUGGUAGCCACUUAAAAACACCCUUCAAUGGGACAUUUGUAUCUGCAAGCACAUUAGAUGGUGCAGGUAUGUCUAAAAUUCACGAUGCCUUUUGUUUAUUAAUCUUAAUAACUACAAAUACAAUAUGUUUUUUUACUAAAGAAAUACUUACAUAUAUGCAGGUAAUAUACUGCCCCUAGCAUAUGGUGUGCUUGAUUCUGAGAAUGACAAAUCUUGGACGUGGUUUUUCGAGCGUUUCAGAGAAACAUACGGAGUAAGAGAGAACAUGUGUAUCGUAUCCGAUAGGCAUGAGAGUAUAAACAAAGUUGUUUUCAGAAUCUAUCCAGAAGUCACACAUUAUGCAUGUAUAUGGCAUCUAUGGGGUAAUGUAUGUCAAAGAUAAAGGAAAAGCCAUGAUAUUUUGUUGCCUGUUUUUUAUUCAAUGGCAAAAGCAUAUACGCAAGAUGAGUUUGAUGAGUUGAUGCUUAAGGUUCAGAAAGUAGAUUUGCGGGUUGCAGAGUAUUUGGAUGAAGCUGGUAGGGAUAGGUGGGCUAGAGUCUAUGCAACUGUUAACCGAGGUUAGACAAUGACUUCUAACAUUGUGGAAUGUAUUAACAAACAUCUUCUAGCUACUAGAGAACUGCCGAUAUAUGACUUUCUGGAAGAGAUUCGAAAGAUGUUUGGUAGAUGGAAUUACAAUAAUAGGAGAAAUGGAACAUACACGUUCACCACACUAGGUAAAAAAUUCCAAGAGAUGCUGUCAAUCAAUGAGUAUUUAUGUCUACGAAUGACGAUUGAACCAUCAAUAGAAUUUGUGUACACGGUACAUGAUGGACGAAGGCGUUUCAUUAUUAAUCUGAGUAACAAAACAUGCAGUUGUCGUAUGUUUCAAUUAGAUGAAAUCCCAUGUCCGCACGCAUGGGCUGUUAUAAAACAGAAACAUUUGGUUGUUGAUGAUUAUUGCUCUGAUUUAUUCAAGCCGGAGACAGUUGUAAAGACAUAUGAUAUUGCUGUGGAUCCUCUACUAGAUGAGAGUGAAUGGAAAAUUUCAAAAGACAUCUUGGAUGAAGUAUUGUUGCCGCCGAGAUACAAAAGACCACCUGGUAGGCCAAAGAAGAGGCGUGACAAACCUUUACAUGAAUUAAUGGCUGGAAAAAAGAGACAUGCUUGCAGUACUUGUGGACAACUUGGACAUAACAGGCGUUCGUGUGGUUUUGAGUCUAGGAGGAAAUGAUUUGGUUUCAAUUAUGUUUUUAUUAUCGUACACUUAGUUAGGGAAAUACUCCGGAUUUUUUUAAGAAUAAGGACAAAUGUGUCAAUAAUUUCUAUUGACACUUAUUAUCUGUAUUUCUGUAAUUUUUGUUUUGUAUAAAUGUUUGUCGUAAAAUUCAUUGAUUACUGUCAACAUAUGUACAAAUACAUCUAGUUUACAGUAUAACAAUCAUCAAUAAUUCAUGAACAGAGGCUAAACAAA